rnacentral:lncRNA from 1 species
GGGAAGGAAGGGAGCGGAAAGGCCGAGCGCCACCCGCCCCGGGAGUCUCCAGAGCAGCGCGCGGGGCAGACCUCCUCGGGUCCUCCGGCGCUUCGGUCUCCGGAGACGCCCGGCCUCCUGAAGGGUUCGGCUUGUCCUCCUCUGGCGCUCAGCUCCCUCUGGCGGCCGGGCUGGCAGGACCUCAGCGCCCAGCCCUUCCGUCUUGUUACGUCCAGGGUCUCACUCUGUGUCUCAGGCUGGAGUACAGUGGUGCAAUUGUAGAUGGCUGCAGCCCUCGACCUCCUGGGCUCAAGUGAUCCUCCUGCCUUAGCCUCUCGAGUAGCUGGGAGUACAGAUGCACACCACCACACCCAGCCUAGAAUGAAGAAACCUGCAGUUGGGAAGCAUGAAUUUACCACCUAUUAAGAAUUGUGGCUUGCAUUGUAAGAGGAGCCUGUGAAUUCAGAGGCAAGUCUGCUGAGGACCGAAUGUUCCUGUCCAUAAAAACAGAAGUCUGGCCUGGGCUCCUCUCUUGGGUGAAUUUGCAAUGCCAGAUCCUCUCUAUCAGUUUGGUUUUGUUUCUUGUAUCUCUGGGAAGGCAGGCAGACAGCACGGUCACCUGUGAAUGCAGCUACAAUUGGCUUAGCUGCCUCACUGAUAAAUGUGCCCCCAGUAAGCUACAAAGGGAUUACCAGCGUUCUCAGCAGCUAAAGGAACUGGUGAAGAUUUCCCCAGCAAAAAGUAGAAGCUCAGUGUUUCAUAGAUGAAGACUGGGGAGAUUGCAAAAGACCCAUCCAGGAUUCUUACUUUGAGUAGCCAACUUGCAGAAUACAAUAGAAUUUUGGGAGGAGCCCCUCGAUGCCUGGCUUUACUGUUGGAGAGACAGUACAGUAUACACCAGAUGACUUAUUUGUGAACCAUGGAAACGUUUGGAAAAGCCUACUUCAUGCUUUGAACAGAAGAGUUUUAUCAGUUUUAAAUGUUUCUUCAUUUCUAUACCUUCUUUUAUCUGAGGAGCUUAAGCCAUUUUGUAGAGGCAUUAAGUAUUGCCUCAGUCUUAAUAUGUGAGACAAGGUGUGAGGAAUAUAGAGAUUCAUAAAAUAAUCCCCAUCUUCAAGGAACUCACAGUCAGGAAGAACAGAGCCUGCAACACAAAUAAUUGCAAUAUAGUAGAAGUGCCAAUAGGAGCUCUAUGAAGGGCGUGAAACAGGAAAGGCUACAUAGAGGAGAUGGCAGACACUCUGUGGAUUGUGACCUGUUGGUGGGCCAUGAAAUCAAUUUGGGGGUUUGAGAGCAUCAUUCUUUUAAUAAAACAGAAGAGAAUCAUCUGCAAUAAGGAACCCAUGGAUGAAUACCAUCUGGUCCUGGUGAUUUACUGCACAGAGUCCCUCAAGUUGCUCCAUACCUUUCUCCUGAGAGACUGAAGAAUCUCUGUCAAGGCCGUUCUCUGCUUUGCCAUAAAAUGUGUCCUUGGAACAAGAAUUUCCCCAUUGUCUUCUUCAAUAAAUACUGAUUCAAA